UACGGAGGGGGCUAGCGUUGUUCGGAAUUACUGGGCGUAAAGCGCGCGUAGGCGGACCUGCAAGUCGGGGGUGAAAGCCCGAGGCUCAACCUCGGAACUGCCUUCGAUACUGCGGGUCUCGAGUCCGGGAGAGGUGAGUGGAAUUCCUAGUGUAGAGGUGAAAUUCGUAGAUAUUAGGAGGAACACCAAUAGCGAAGGCAGCUCGCUGGGACGGUACUGACGCUAAGGCGCGAAAGCGUGGGGAGCGAACAGG
rnacentral:rRNA from 1 species